GAUGAAGAACGUAGCGAAAUGCGAUAAGUAAUGUGAAUUGCAGAAUUCAGUGAAUCAUCGAAUCUUUGAACGCACAUUGCGCCCUUUGGUAUUCCAAAGGGCAUGCCUGUUCGAGCGUCAUUUGUACCCUCAAGCUUUGCUUGGUGUUGGGCGUCUUGUCUCUAGCUUUGCUGGAGACUCGCCUUAAAGUAAUUGGCAGCCGGCCUACUGGUUUCGGAGCGCAGCACAAGUCGCACUCUCUAUCAGCAAAGGUCUAGCAUCCACUAAGCCUUUUUUUCAACUUUUGACCUCGGAUCAGGUAGGGAUACCCGCUGAACUUAAGCAUAUCAAUAGCGGAGGA
rnacentral:misc_RNA from 1 species